rnacentral:rRNA from 1 species
AAACCAGCCCAUAGCUCAACAACCCAUAUUCCAUAAAAUUAUUAUUUAAUCUUAAACAAAACAUUUACCAACCACUAAAGUAUAGGUGAUAGAAAUUUUAUUUUGACGCUAUAGAGAACAGUACCGCAAGGGAAAGUUGAAAGAAAACUUUAAGUAAAAAAUAGCAAAGCUUAGUUCUUGUACCUUUUGCAUAAUGAUUCAGCUAGUAAAUAUUAGCAAAAAGAAUUAAAGUUAAACUCCCCGAAACCAGACGAGCUACCUGUCAACAGCUAAAAGAGCAAACUCAUCUAUGUGGCAAAAUAGUGAGACGAUUGUCAGGUAGUGGCGACAAACCUAUCGAGCCUGGUGAUAGCUGGUUGUCCAGAAUAGAAUUUUAGUUCUAACUUAAACCUACCAAAAUAGAAAACAAAUUAUAAUGUAAGUUUAAAGAGUAGUCUAAAAAGGUACAGCUUUUUAGACAAGGGAUACAACCCCUAUUAGAGAGUAAGUUAUUAUUAACCACAGUAGUUGGCCUAAAGGCAGCCACCAACUAAGAAAGCGUUCAAGCUCAACAGCACAAAAACUUAAUUCCACAGUAAAAUUUUAAACUCCUAAUGCAAAACUGGACUAUUCUAUUUAUAAAUAGAAGUAACAUUGCUGAUAUGAGUAACAAGAAAUAAUUCUUCCCUGCACACGUGUAUAUCAGAACGAAUAAAUCGCUGACAGUUACCAAAAUAAGUAUUACUAAUAACUUAAAUUCCCUGACUAUUAAUUGUUAACCCAACACAGGAGUGCAACAAAGAAAAGAUUAAAAGAAGUAAAAGGAACUCGGCAAACACAAACCCCGCCUGUUUACCAAAAACAUCACCUCUAGCAUAAAAAGUAUUAGAGGCACUGCCUGCCCAGUGACUUUAGUUUAACGGCCGCGGUAUCCUGACCGUGCAAAGGUAGCAUAAUCACUUGUUCCCUAAAUAGGGACUUGUAUGAACGGCCCCACGAGGGUUUAACUGUCUCUUACUUCAGAUCAGUGAAAUUGACAUCCCCGUGAAGAGGCGGGGAUAAAAAAAUAAGACGAGAAGACCCUAUGGAGCUUUAAUUAACUAGCUCAUAUUAACUCUAAUAAUCUCCCUUACGAGGGAUAAACUCAAUUUAACUGAGCUAAAAAUUUAGGUUGGGGUGACCUCGGAAUAAAAUUUAACCUCCGAGAAAUCUACUUGAGACUCACAAGUCAACACUACAAUAUUUACACUGAUCCGCCAACGGCGAUCAACGAAACAAGUUACCCUAGGGAUAACAGCGCAAUCCUAUUUAAGAGUUCAUAUCGACAAUUUAGGGUUUACGACCUCGAUGUUGGAUCAGGACAUCCCAAUGGUGCAGCAGCUAUUAAUGUGUUCGUUUGUUCAACGAUUAAAGUCCUACGUGAUCUGAGUUCAGACCGGAGUAAUCCAGGUCGGUUUCUAUCUAUUUAUAAGUCCCUCCCAGUACGAAAGGAUAAGAGAGACAGAGCCCACUUAAAAUAAGCGCCCUAUUAAUAAUAAAUGAACUAAUCUCAAUCUUAUAGUACCCAUUAAUUAUCCUAGAAAAGGAAAAACAACCAA